rnacentral:rRNA from 1 species
UACGUAGGAGGCGAGCGUUGUCCGGAAUUACUGGGCGUAAAGAGCGCGUAGGCGGCGCUGUACGACCGCUGUGAAAGCCCCCGGCUCAACUGGGGAGGGUCAGCGGUAACGACAGUGCUACGAGUGCAGGAGAGGGAAGUGGAACUCCGGGAGUAGCGGUGAAAUGCGUAGAUACCCGGAGGAACACCAGUGGCGAAGGCGGCUUCCUGGUCUGCGACUGACGCUGUGGCGCGAAAGCUAGGGGAGCAAACGGG